rnacentral:rRNA from 1 species
AUUGGGACUGAGAGACGGCCCAGACUCCUACGGGAGGCAGCAGUGGGGAAUCUUGCGCAAUGGUCUAACGACUGACGCAGCGACGCCGCGUGUGGGAGGACGCCUUUCGGGGUGUAAACCACUGUUGCCCGGGACGAACAGGGUUAUUCGUAACCUCUGACGGUACCGGGUGAGGAAGCACCGGCUAACUCCGUGCCAGCAGCCGCGGUAAUACGGAGGGUGCGAGCGUUGUCCGGAAUCAUUGGGCGUAAAGGGCGCGUAGGUGGCCCGGUCAGUCUUUGGUGAAAGCGCGGGGCUCAACCCUGCGUCGGCCAGGGAUACUGCCGCGGCUCGAGCACUGUAGAGGCAGGCGGAAUUCCGGGUGUAGCGGUGGAAUGCGUAGAGAUCCGGAAGAACACCGGUGGCGAAGGCGGCCUGCUGGGCAGUUUUGCUGACACUGAGGCGCGACAGCGUGGGGAGCAAACAGGAUUAGAUACCCUGGUAGUCCACGCCGUAAACGAUGGGCACUAGGCGCUUGGGGGAGCGACCCCCCGAGGGCCGGCGCUAACGCAUUAAGUGCCCCGCCUGGGGAGUACGGCCGCAAGGCUGAAA